rnacentral:tRNA from 1 species
GCCCUUGUAGCUCAGGGGUUAGAGUAUGGCCUUCGUAGGAGGUCAGGUUAGGGUCCAUGGUUCAAAUCCAUGCUGGGGCA